rnacentral:rRNA from 1 species
UACGAAGGGGGCUAGCGUUGCUCGGAAUUACUGGGCGUAAAGGGCGCGUAGGCGGAUACUUAAGUCGGGGGGUGAAAGCCCAGGGCUCAACCCUGGAAUAGCCUUCGAUACUGGGUAUCUUGAGUUCGGGAGAGGUGAGUGGAACUCCGAGUGUAGAGGUGAAAUUCGUAGAUAUUCGCAAGAACACCAGUGGCGAAGGCGGCUCACUGGCCCAUUACUGACGCUGAGGCACGAAAGCGUGGGGAGCAAACAGG